rnacentral:tRNA from 1 species
AUGGUGCAAACGAAGCCAGAAGUUGACCCGGCACACCCUUUUGGUAAUGAAGAGGUCGAGAGUUCAAUCCUCUCUCGCAGCACCA